GGCAAUUAGCAGCCAAUCGCUGGAGGGCGAUGGUCCUUGGACACCAUCCCAGGCCUUUCUAACUCUACAAGUAAACGGCACUUGGGUCUCUAACCCAUUCUGGAAUGGAGAGCACCUGCUGUUCCCCUGAGAGUAUUUCCUCCUACCCUUGACUGUGGGCUCAGCAAACUGCUGGCUCCUCUCCAGGCCUCAGGACAAGUUGAAAUCCAGAAGCUGGAAGGAAACUGCCAAGUUUGAUCCCAAGAUGAGCUUUAAUGAAGACGCCGAUCCAGGACUGAGGCCGACCCAGGGAGCACCGCGAGGGCGUGGGAUCUGUUUCUGAUAAAAUCGACAUUGAGGUUUUGAAGAAUGAAUCAGAAAGGAAGUUCAAUUCCAUUUCAUGACUGGGCUGAACUAAAUAGAAAGCCCGUCUGUCAUUAAAGAGAGAUUUCUUUCUUCUUUUCCUUUCUUCUCUUCUCUCUCUCUUUUUGGUUGUUCUUUGACAAUAUUUUUAGAAAUUUCUAGAAUUGGUCCUGCUCUCCACAAUCGGUUGGUGGAGGGGCGGGGGUGGUUCUCGAGAACAGAUGGGAAACUGAAUUCCCAAAGAACCCAGCAACAUAUUUUACU